UAGGCGGACGGGUGAGUAGCGCGUGGGUAACCUGCCUCAUACAGGGGGAUAACAGUUAGAAAUGACUGCUAAUACCGCAUAAGACCACAGCACCGCAUGGUGCAGGGGUAAAAACUCCGGUGGUAUGAGAUGGACCCGCGUCUGAUUAGGUAGUUGGUGGGGUAACGGCCUACCAAGCCGACGAUCAGUAGCCGACCUGAGAGGGUGACCGGCCACAUUGGGACUGAGACACGGCCCAA
rnacentral:rRNA from 1 species